rnacentral:rRNA from 1 species
CCUACGGGAGGCAGCAGUGGGGAAUAUUGCACAAUGGGGGAAACCCUGAUGCAGCAACGCAGCGUGAGUGAAGAAGUAUUUCGGUAUGUAAAGCUCUAUCAGCAGGGAAGAAGAAAGACGGUACCUGACUAAGAAGCCCCGGCUAACUACGUGCCAGCAGCCGCGGUAAUACGUAGGGGGGAAGCGUUAUCCGGAUUUACUGGGUGUAAAGGGAGCGUAGACGGCUGUGUAAGUCUGAAGUGAAAGCCCGUGGCUCAACCGCGGAACUGCUUUGGAAACUGUAUAGCUUGAGUUCUGGAGAGGCAGGCGGAAUUCCUAGUGUAGCGGUGAAAUGCGUAGAUAUUAGGAGGAACACCAGAGGCGAAGGCGACUCACUGGACUGUAACUGACGCUGAGGCUCGAAAGCGUGGGGAGCAAACAGGAUUAGAUACCCCGGUAGUC